UACAUAGGGACCAAGCGUUGUUCGGAUUUACUGGGCGUAAAGGGCGCGUAGGCGGCGCGGUAAGUCACUUGUGAAAUCUCUGAGCUUAACUCAGAACGGCCAAGUGAUACUGCAGUGCUAGAGUGUGGAAGGGGCAAUCGGAAUUCUUGGUGUAGCGGUGAAAUGCGUAGAUAUCAAGAGGAACACCUGAGGUGAAGACGGGUUGCUGGGCCAACACUGACGCUGAGGCGCGAAAGCCAGGGGAGCAAACGGG
rnacentral:rRNA from 1 species